AUUGAACGCUGGCGGCAGGCCUAACACAUGCAAGUCGAGCGGAGCGGCGGACGGGUGAGUAAUGCCUAGGACUCUGCAUGGUCGUGGGGGAUAACGUCAGGAAACGGGCGCUAAUACCACAUCCUAUCAGCUGAGCCUAGGUCGGAUUGGCUAGUUGGUGGGGUAGAGGCCUACAAAGGCGACGAUCCGUAACUGGUCUGAGAGGGGGAUCAGGCACACUGGAACUGAGACACGGUCCAGACUCCUACGGGAGGCAGCAGUGGGGAAUAUUGCACAAUGGGCGAAAGCCUGAUCCAGCCAUGCCGCGUGUGUGAAGAAGGUCUUCGGAUUGUAAAGCACUUUAAGUUGGGAGGCGUUACCAACAGAAUAAGCACCGGCUAACUCCGUGCCAGCAGCCGCGGUAAUAC
rnacentral:rRNA from 1 species